ACACUGUACAAUGGAUUUCUCGGCUCCCACAUC
rnacentral:rRNA from 1 species